rnacentral:rRNA from 1 species
UACAGAGGUCUCAAGCGUUGUUCGGAUUCAUUGGGCGUAAAGGGUGCGUAGGCGGCGCGGUAAGUCGGGUGUGAAAUCUUGGAGCUUAACUCCGAAACUGCAUUCGAUACUGCCGUGCUUGAGGACUGGAGAGGAGACUGGAAUUCAUGGUGUAGCAGUGAAAUGCGUAGAGAUCAUGAGGAAGACCAGUGGCGAAGGCGGGUCUCUGGGCCGAUACUGACGCUGGAGGAGCGAAAGCGUGGGGAGCAAACAGG